GGGGAAUGUCUCCUAGAAGAAGGAUAUUCUCAGAGAAAGAAUGCUAUACAGCUAGAGACGCUCAUCAUUAGCUGGGGGUAACUGUAAGUUUGGACAUGCUGAGACAUGCUGGACAAGAGACAGCAUGUAUGUACCUUCUCAUGUUGCUGCUGGCCUACGGGCUUCUUUGGUGGUCCAUUAAAGGCUAAGGGCAUGCUUUUAAAGGUGCUAGAAAGCACCAUGUGGGAGUUUUCACAGACCUGGACAAACAAGUAUCAGUGUGAUCUGAACACAGGAGUAAUUUUGCUAAGAUUAUCACUGUCAGCUUUCAUGAUGAAAGAACCAAAGAGAACUGAAGUACAACUCCUACGCUGCUGAAGCAGUCAGUCAUGUAGUGUGGAAAAAAAGAAAAAAGCACCUGCCACUGGUGGCUACCUCGUUUUUAUAUCCAGCUUCUGCGGUUUUCUCAAGUGUUGAACACUACAAGAAAUUCUCUUAGAGGAACAGAUGUGCUGGAGAGAAGCAAUAAAUACUUUCAAAUUUGAGAGAGGAGCAGUGAGAUAGUUGACGAGAGAUGCAGUAGGACUUCUCCCCUCAUACUCCUCACCCAGAGGAGCUGUUCCUAGCGGUAAGUAAUACAAUGAAGAAGAAUUGGCUGUGCUGAACUUUCAGGUGGAAAUGAGUUUGAAGACUCAAAUCUGGGCAGAUUCAUGGCUAUUUUCCAGGAAGAAAAUGAGAAUAGUAAUUAUGAAGAGCAGACAAGAAAUGAUAAAAAAAAUGAAGAGAUGAACACAACAAACAAGUUGAAGGAAAUAGUAUUACUUAAUUCUGAAAUGGUACAAUAAUCUAACCUCUCAUGAAUUGGAGGUAAGGGGAGGUGGUGAGAGUUCAAAUAGUACAAAAUAAACAGAAGAGUGAGAUGUGAGAUAAGACAAGCAAAAAAAGAAAGACUGUAAUUUUAAGUGACUUCAGAUUCUAACAUGGUUUUUGUUGCCAUUGCAACAGUAGGUAAUAAAUGAAAUGCAGAUGGACACUUAACUAACAACUAUUUCUUGCACAACUACUAGGUCAGUAAUUCAACCUACAUGUGAUUCAAAAUUAAGUCUGAUGCAGAUUCAUGAUCAGAAUAUUUUAAAUCCAACUAACCAGAUCACAGAUCCUAAUGUAAUUACUGUUAAUAUCCCUUGAUACUAAAGGAUGUGUACAAGACCAACAUGCAUGGCUCGAUAUAGACCUAAACUCUCCAGGGGAGAAGAAUGUGAGAUAAAUGUUAGAUCUACCCUGCUGACAGUUACUCUAAUCUGGAAUAUGGCUGCUUACUGUGAUGGAGGUGGAUUUUUUCUUCAAUCAAUGCAUUCUGUAGCAGUACACUUCACCUAGUGUGCUGCUGGAGUUUGGUAGUUUGAAAAAGGUCUUUCUGAAAGUAUGAAGAAGGAACAUGGGGGAACCAUAGCUUUGUUCCCGACAUCUUGCUUUUGAGACAGAUGAGUGUACUAAUUAGUAAAAGGCAUAUUCAGGAAACAGAAAAAGGAAACAAAUUCUGGUUUUGAACACACAAGAUUUAAGAAACUGCUCUCCUCUCCAAAACUUUUCCUUCUCCCCGCAUUCCUAAUUCAGUAGAAUGAGAUACCUAAAUAUGUGCAACAGGGAUCAUUUCCAAUGGAGACAUAUAAAGUGUGGACAGCCCUACUGAUUCAAACAAAUUGAUUCUACAAUGGAUUGGAAUAGAAGAAUUAUAUUUGAAUCCUUAUUUGCUAAAGAGAAGAAGCAGAUAAGCAAGACUUCCAAUUGUCAAACUAUAUUGUUAUAUUAUUAGUAGUAGUAUUCUUAAGUAGGAUUUUCCUUCUCUCCAGAGCUCAUUCUUACCGUUGUUGUUGCUUUUUCAGUGUGUGGUCUUAAUGACAAGUUUGUAACAUUUAUGUUUAUUUGCAUGGCAGGGGCCUGAACUGCCGUAAGAAAGCACAAUAUUUUUAAAGGAGAAUUAAUAGGAGAAGAAGCUGGAUCAUAGAAAAGGAAAUAAAUUAUUCACACUGUCUCAAGCAUCAGAAAAUUAUAUUUAAGAAAUCCUGCAAAGCACAUUAGUCUUUUAACAAAUGCUCUCUUUCUGCAACUUGAUUUUUUUUUCUGUCAUCAGUCUCUGUUUUAUUUCAGAAUAAUACAAUGAAGACUUCACAGUUUUAUAUUCUGACUUAACCCUUCAGAAGUGAAAUGCCACACAAAAACAGAAUGUGAUUGUCAAGAGAAAAGCCAGUCUGAAAGGAAAUAACGUGCUGACUGAUCUUUAGCCUUUUUGAGGUGUGUGGAAAACUUGGACAGAAGAAGCUCCACUUUAUAGGGAUAACUUCAGACACAGAAUCACAGUAUGGUAUGGGUUGGAAAACUUUGCUCCUUUUGAAGGCUUCGAUGGAUACGCGGUCACCUCAGUCCCCAGGGCUUGCACAGCUGCUGGAAGUAACUGAUGGAUGAGCACCUGUUAGAAAGUGGAUCUAUCUGCACGAAUAAUCCUGGAUGUUUAGAUUGUGGUUGGAAGUUGGAGCUAACAGGGCAUCACAAGGCUCUGACAUCGCUCUGCCUACUCAGGACUCCUGUUUUCUGAGAUACCUGUGGCACCUUUAUCACAACUUCACCUUACAGCAGCCACCCUGCACCCUCUGCCAGGGGCUACUGAAGACAUUUCACCUAUGACGGAAUGAGCUCCCUUUUAGGUACAGAAAGGUCACUGUCAGGUCUCCCCAAAGCCUUACCUUCGCCAGGCUGAACAGCCCCAGGAAUCUCAGCCUGCCCACAUAGGAGAGGUGUUCCAACUCUUGGAUUUCUUUUGUGGCUCUCCUCUGGAUGUGCUCCAACAGGUCUGUGUCUCUCCUGUAUUGAGGACUCCACAUCAGGAUGCAAUACUCCAGUGCUCCUUUUCUGAGGACUAUGGGCUAAACUCCAUUAGUGAGCAAAGAUCACUAAAGCUCUGCCACUGAAGUCAGAGCUGCCUUCUGUCAGCAAAGCCAAGAGUUACUUGGAAUUGUAUGGAUGGGGAACAGGAUAGAUCCAGGGAAAAAGAAGUGAAUCUGCGGAGAUUUCUUUUAACUGGAGUAUUGCCCAAGGUGGAUGUUUUGCUGCUGCCCAUGAAAAAUAAGUGUGAUUUUCACCCUCCAGCUGCAAAUAGGAACAAGUAUCAUUUGUAAGGGAGUUGUGGAUCUUUCAUAAUGCAAUGUUGUUUCAGGUGGAUUGACCUAAGCCUGAGAACAUUAAGCUUCCCAUCCUUUCCAGAAGCAAAGGUGUAUUCCAACAGUUCAGACCACUUCAGCUAUUCUUGCAUGAAGAAUGUGCUGAAGAUUAUUUCAUCCUGAAUUUUGUUGUGAUCUAGAAACAUGGAGAAAGAACUACAAGAACAACCACGUUUCUUUUCAGUGAUGUCCUUGUGUAACAUGGAGCUUUUAUUUUAACUUGAAAAUUCAUUCAGGCAUGAUUUAGGGUUAUUGAAGUAGUAAGAUCUGCUAGAAGACAAUGGAAGCAAAAAGAAGAAAUUAGAGCAGAAGAAAAUGAGGAACAGAGAAUGUGGAAAAAUUCCAGGAAUGAGAAAGAGACAGAAAACACAGAAGAAAGGCGGUAUAGACAGAAAAGAAAACUGUCUUUAACUAUUAUUGAGCAGGUAAUCUCUUUCAAAUUCUGGAAGAAAUAGAACCAAAGUUGAUGAGAGGCUUUUCCUUCAAUUAUUUAAGCUGCUUGUUUUUAAAACGCUAAAUGUAUUAGUGUAUGAGAAAACUUUAAAUGAAAAAAAACAUUAAGGAAGACAUGUACAUUGUACUUUAUUUCCUCUUUUUUCCUGUGUAAAAUAAAACAGUUAACGUUAAGAAUAUGAAAAACCUUAUUAAAACAGAUAAAUUUAUGUAAAAAUAUGUAAUUACUUUGAAUUAUUUAAAGUUUGGUUACAGUUUCAAGUUACUUGUUAAUUAUUUAUAUUCUAUACUUAAAUGAUUCCUCUUAUGUAAUGCCCUUGAAUAAUAGAAAUAGUGAUGCAACUUUAGAAUGGAGAUAAAUAACUUUGACUAGUUUAAUUGCUUGAAAUUUUUCUUGGAUUUGUUUUGAAUGCAACAAAUGUUCCCAUGUACUGGCGCUCCCUUUUUUGCCUAGUAUGUUAGGGACUUGAUUCCUCCUCUGAAUGACAAUUUUCCAAUGUCAUGAUACAUGACUGAAGGGAUGGGUGUAUUUAUUCUAUUUUGAUUCAAUUUCAUUUCAUAUCACAUACGUAUGUAUUCAUUCAGGUGAUGUCAGAUGCUACAGUCGUUCCACUUAAUAGAGAAUUGAGAAAUCUGUUUGUAUUCACCAUUACAGUUGCUGCUCCAGACAGAAUCCUAAACACUAUCUUGUAGUGUAUGCAUGAGUGAGCUGCUCUCUGGAUCGUCUGACUCUGCUGUGCUCUGUGAUGUGCUGCAUGUUCAGGGACAACAAUGGGAGUGUGCAACAUUGCUACAUCCACUAAAUUAUAACAUUGUUCUUUGUUUAUGGCCCAGUGGAAAAUUUAAGUGUCUUGUAAAAAGAUGGAACAUAUUCAACAGGAAAUAAUGGAAAUUCUCCCUAAUCCAUGUUUGAUGAUGGAUUAAGCUCUUUCAGAUAAGGAAAGAAAUAUGGGGCUUCCAGCACAGCAAGACGAAUGCUGAACUUAUUGUCCAUUACCAACUCAUGUUCUUGUGAACAUUGCCCACAUCCUCCUCAUUUAUAUUGCUUUCUUUUGCUAUGGCUACCUCAAGCAGUAAAUAAUCAUGUUCCACUACGCAUUUUCUCUGCCCACUACCCAUCUGGGACAAUAAAUAAAAAAAAAAAAACCAACAUAUUUGCUGAGCCAUAAUCUUGACCAAGUUCUUGUUCUUGAUGAUUUGGUUAUUACAAAUGUGUUGUUCUUAUUGAUGCUUGGGGUAAAGUUAUGAAUGCCCUAAAGCUCCUGUCUUCUGGUUUUUCUCUAGGUGCAUAAACAUGCUCAGGAAUGCUAUAAAUAGGGAAGAUAAUUUGUAAGGAAAUUGAAUUUAAGUGUAGUUGAAGCAAAUAGAGGGCAAGCAAGCUAGAAGUUGUGAAUAAAAUGAAAUAAAAAGAGGGAGCUGGCAAGAAAUUGUUAUUUAUUUAUGCAAAUUGCAGUUAAGAUAUUUUCUAAAGUAAGUAGACCUGCUUAUUAUUUUCUGUGACAGAGAUUACAGUUGCUUUUUCCCUUCUGUUCUCUUCUGUUUUUUCUUCUAUUUCUUUUCCUUCUCUUUAUUUUGCCUAGAGUUUUAUCUCCUCGUAGCCUGAGACUUUCAUAUAAUUCUAUUUACCUGUUGUGAAAUAUAUUUGUGUGUUUAUUUAAAAAGUCAAUUCCUUCUGUAACUACAAUAGUAUAGUAAUAAUCUCCUUUAGCUGGAUUUUAAAGUAUUCAUGUAGUCUUGUGAUUUUUUUUUUUAAGCCAGCCUAUAUAGCCAGAUUAUAGCAGAAAUUCUGCUAUAUCUUUCUAUUCUCUGCUGUACUUAUUUCUGUUAGCUGUACUUUGUUUAUCCCUGUAAUUGCAGUCUUCCUCUAAUAACCUCGUUAUUUUGUAGCUUUUUCCUUGUGGUAGUUGUACUCUUCUCUCGAAUUUCUGAAAUGACUGCUUUUUGUCUGAGGAAAUUUGUGUAGAUAUCAUGUUGUCAUAGUUGUCAUAAAGGCAUUACUAAAGGUUAAAUCUAUUUGUCCUGUUGGUAUUUUAUGUAGAAUCUAACUAUAGUUUAGAUCACUUCUGCUAGCUUGAGAGUACAUUUGUGCCGUACUUGGUUAAAACUACCUUUAGUAGCUAGCACUCAAGGGAUAAGUAAUCGAAGCCUUCCAUUUCCUUUUUGCUGUAACUUAUUUUGGCGAGGUUAGUGAGUAUGGUUGAAUACUGUCUUCUGUCUUUUCCAUAUCUGCUGAGAUGUUUAUCUAACAUGAUUUUUGUUCCUGGAGCAGAGCACUUGCAGAGACAGUGCUUUCUAGUGAUGUCAGGAAAAUGACUGAAUGAGAAGAAAGAUUAAUCUCUGGUAUGCUUUAGUGUAGCAUGAGUUGCCUUGAGAGCUCUCACUUGUUCCUGUUAGGUGCUUACGUCUUGAAGUCACAGUGCACAGCUCUAGUGCCCAUAUCAUCAGAGACCUGAAAUCCUUCUAAUGCAGAAACAUGAAAAAAUAGACCAUAUGAAUGUCCUAAAUGAAUUUGAAAAGUACUACGCUCAGUAUAUCAGCAGAGUUUUCAUUUAGAGAUUGAUCACUAAAAGCAGUUUCUUUUUUCUUUGUGAAAUGGAGAAACUAACAAGUUAUGGUUUAUGUAGUUGCAUAGCUUGUGCAAUGCAACACAGGUAGUGCUGCUGUGGAAAGCAAAAUAUUAACCUUUUUUUAUUUUGUGAUGCUUAACAUCUUAGCUUUAAUAUUCUAUUUUCUUUCUUCAAUUUAUUCCCUCAAUGCCUUUGGUGAUCCUCACUUGUCAUGCCAAGUUCCUGCAAACCAUGCAGAUAGUGGCCCAUGCCUUUUAUUCAUCCUGGAAGACACCCAACAUGCUUUUGGGAACUGUAAAAAUAGUACUUUUAAAUUUGACACUGAACAUGGGGCAUGAUUAGCAUCAGCAGCAGAUCCACCACCUGUAUCAUCCAAGUCUGUUUGAUUUCAUAGGUAGCUGCUUUUCAUUCCGUGUCAUAGAAUUCUACUUUUUUGUGCUAUUUUAUACUACGCAGACUUUUUGCUGCCUUGGUUAUCCCAGGGAAUGAGUGUGUUGCACUAAGUGAACAAUCUAGCAUCUGUUAUGCUUUAUCCUUUCUCCCACUACUUCCUUGUGGAGUGAAUAGCAUGUGUGUGAGAUAUAAGGCAUAAAACCUGUAAGAUUUUAUUUUAUAAUUAUAUGCCUAUUUAUUUAUAUGUUAAUUUGUAUAUACUAGUUAUAUAGCCAUCCUCCUCAGAAGUCCAUAGUGUUAGGGGAGGAUAGGCAGAAAAUAUCUAAAAGGAGAAUAAGCUGAAACUUUUUACUGCCAUCAAGGUUUUGUUCUCUUCUAAAUCUCUUCUCUACACGACUAUAUUUUUCCAUUUUGAAAAAUGAAAUUCAAGCUGUUUUAUUCCCUAAAGUGCAUUCAACUAUGAGGGCUAUGCAUGAUUCAGAGCUCUGAAAAUUUCAGCAAUGCUGUUUAAAGGUUAUCCCUGCCUCCUAUUUUUGUAUUAUCACACCAGUUGAUUUGGAUGGAGACAAUACUGACAUAACUGUUUGGGCAGGGUCUCCAGAGCUAUUGUCCCUCACAGCUUUGAAGUUUUUGCAGUACUUAGUUGAUUGAGACUUCAAAUCUUGGAGAGGAUGAUGCAAAACAGUGGUUCUACUGCAGUGCUGGUGAGGGAAUGUUGUGGAAACACACACUUACCUUGUGCCCCAUUCCUCUGCUUUUAGGAAUGCCUACCUCUUCAGUGUGAAUAGGAGAAAUAAAUACCUUCUGUCCAGCAGCGGUUGAUUUUCUGCAUUCUGUUUUGAAUUCUUAAGUAAUCUAAAUUCUCUUCCAGGAAAGGCUUCUAUUGAUAGAAAUAUUUCUGCUGUUGGUUAUCUUUGAGAGGGUAUUACUCUACUAGCCUCUUGUUCUAAACUAGCAGCUAGUAUAGGAAGAGCUGAUGUGGCACAGUCAGCAAUGAAAAUGAACUUGAACGUUCUGUAUUUACAGUUGUCAAUGAGACAUCCGCUUCACCAGUCUGAUUUUCCUUUGCAUGUGCUUUUUCUUCCUGGGACAUGCCUAGUGAUCAAGGUGCUAUUUAUCACUCUCACAGUGCUAGAUAGAACAGCCACAGCAGCAAAGAUCUAGAAUUUAAAAAUGAAGAGAAUGACGGGUAGAUAAGGAUAGAAGGGAAAUCAAAAGUUGAUAACAAAUGCACAAAGUACUUGAACAGGUACUGCAUCACAGCAGUCUCUUAUGGACAACCAAAUUUUUAUCAAAGUUCAAACAGUGAUUUCACAUGCGAACUCUGAGCUGCUGUUUCAAUUUAUCAGAUGAGAUGUAAGAGGGCAACUAGUAAUGGUCUGGUUAGAUAAAGUAUUUCAGUAAUGAGGGCUGCUAUGAAAAUAAUACCUCCUAUUUUAUUAUGUUGGUUCAUUACAUUAAAGGUGGUUGUUGGUAGUAUGACAGUAGAAGCUGCAGGUUCCCACCAGUAUUCCAUUGUAUUUUGUUGCUGUGUGACAGAUGGCAGCAGUGGGGCAAUCUGAUAAAAUGGCAUCUGACAUGGAAGUGUGUAUGAAGCAAAUGUGUAGAAUUGGAUUCCUCCAUGCAGAAAAAAUUGUGCUCAUUGGUAUUCAUCAAAGCUUGCUGUACACUUUUGGAGGCCAAACAGAACGUGAGCACAGUGACAGUGGGUUACCUCCACUGGUGCAGAAUCUUACAAGCACAGCAGACGAGCUCUUGCUCAUUGCUGGUAGAAAAUUCAUAGCUAAUGGUGGUGUCUAUUUUGGAAAAUAGUGUAAAUAGUGUUUUGUACUUUAAAAUUUGCUAUAUCAAAUAGUGUUAUUGUGCUCUUUGUAUCAGUUGUAGUUUCCAUGGAGAAAAAUGGGGGGGCAUUAUUUUUUGAGUGACCUACGUAGUUCUCUGCAUCAGGCUAUAUGAAGGAUAUAAUUACACGAUUUAAUUACAUUUUAUAAAAGAGAUACUUUUUUUACUGUUGUUUUCUUUGGUGUGUGUUUUGAAAUGACAUUUUGUGUUUUUUUACAGGUUUAUGCAGUCUGAGACAGUGAUACAAAUAGCUACUCAGAUUCUGCAGUGUGUACGCUGGGUGAUAUAUGUUAACCUGGUAAAUCAUUGGUUCUUACAACAGGCUGCAAUUUUCUGCAGUGGAGAUUAAGGAUUAAUCCAUGCCAUUGCUCUUCUGAAAAUCAGACUGGGUUAUCAGUGCCAAUUGCUGAAUCAAACCAACUAGCCAAGUAUUAGCAAAUUAUCCUUGGAGGUUAUUUAUACUAUCACUUUGUCAAGCCUGACAGAGAAGUCAUUUAUUUAGCAAUGGAUAUGAUGGCAACUUCUAUUUAAUUUCUUUCCUGUGCUAUGCAGACCUCUUACAACUUAAAUUCUCUGGUGAUGUUUUGUAAAAUGUGCAAAAGUAGCACAGACUCUUGAUUAGAUUCCACUGGCCUAAGGACAAAAAGAGCCUAUUGCUUUUCCCUGUAGCAUGUUUCCCCCUUACUCAUGCAUGGCUUUUGCUAUUACGGCAACCUUCAGUGAUAUUGAAUGUAUUUCCACCAUCUUGGCAUUUCUGGUUUCAAAUGGAGUAGGUUGUUUUUUAUUUCUGGUUAUUUCAUGUGAAUCAUUUUGAAAGGUUGUCAAAUAUAUAUUUUUCUCUCCCAGAUAUACAGUCUGGUGAAUUUUGCAUACCUUUGAAGUCCACAGAGAAAAACUAUUAAAUUACUGUGACUUCUUUGAUAUACGAUAUUUCAUUAAUGGUAAUGAUUGAUACGUAGUAUGUCAUUUUGCUUCUGUAACUUGCUUAGGAUGUGUCUGAAUAAAACACGACAUAGAAGAAAGUCCAUGUUCCUUUCUCUAAUAUCAUUUACCUGCAGAAUAACAUGGGCCACAUUGCUAGGUGGAUAUUGUUUAUUUAAUAAACAUCUGCCUUAAGUUAGUUUAAAGCCAUCUCUAGGGCUUCUAUUAUUAGUUUGCUGGACUUAAAGUUAAUUUUAUUCUUUGGAAAUUUAGGGCAAUUGUACUAGAUGAUCUUUAAAGGUCUCUUCCAACUAGGCUAUUAUUCUGUUGUGUUGUAUCAUAUUGCAUCACACCCUAUCCCAACUUGGUCCCUCUGGUGGCCAUGUCAAUAUUACUCUUUCGAAACAAGCAUGUUUUUUUUGUAUUGUGAAAUUUGCUGUUGGCAUUUUCCAGUUGGAUUUGGUGACCUAUAUAUCAUACAACAAUGUAUAUUUGUAUAUGGUGGAUACACCAGAUUUUCAUACUUUAUCCCAUGCUUAUUGUUUUGAGAGGGCUUUAGAUGAUCAGGGAGAGGCUGAAUUCUCUUUCACUGAUGUAUCAGUAAGUUGGAUUUGAACAAGAAACCUGCUUUAUUUGUAGAAUAGUUUCUAGAAUAGUUUCAGUAGAACUGAUGCACCAGUGUGCUGUAGGUUAAAAGACUUAAGGGAAAUAACUGAACUGUUUUGCAUCAGUUGCAUUGUCUUCUUUUAGCUCUCUGGAGAAUUUUUAGAGCCUUCCCUCUUCCUCCUGCCCUUCACCCCCCCAUCCUCAAGAUAUGUCUGUAAAAGAAUGCUUAGAUAGUUGAAUUCAUUAUGAUAAGAAAGGGUGUUUGUUUCUGCUUGUUUAGCUAUUAUUAACUGAAAAUAAACACUUAAUAUCAGUUGAUUAAGAGGACAAAAUUAAUAAGAUACAAUCCUCCUUUUUUUUUUUUUUUGCUGUUAAAUAUUUGCUGGUCUCCAUUAAGAUGCUGGCUAACAUUUUCUCUUUAUUGGUAAAUGGAAAUUCACACUUAAAGAUCUAGCUCCCCAAACAUAUUCAAUACCGGAUUACCUUAUCUUUGUUUUUGUUGUUGUUU